AAAAGCUGUCAAAACAAAAAUAUAUGUAGUGGAAAAAUCUAUCUUAAAUAAUAAAAUCUGAUAUUUUAUGAGUUAUUUAGGUAAUAAAACCCAUAAUUUGGGAUCAAUCUAGCUUUUUUCCCUAGUUUUAAUGGAAAAUAACAUAAACUGUGUAGAAACUUGGAAGGACAAGUUAACCACCUAGGGAGAAACUACUGCGAAUACCUUCUCCAAGAUUGGUUAAUUGAUAAGUUAUAAGAUGAAAAAAAGGUUGAAGCUCCCGCGCGUGACCGCACGCGCGUCUCCCUUCUCUCUCCUCUUCUACGACACAAGGUUUUCAUUGGCCGCCGGGGAGGGCUCCCCCUUUGUCUGCUUAUCGUCUUUUUCUUAUCUUUCCGUUGAGUUAAGGUCGGAUCUGAGUUCUCCUCUUCUUCUGGGACUCUGGUUGGUGGUUGGCCGGAGGUUCAAGAUCGUGCUGUGGCAAAGACAACCUCGACUUGUGGUGGGGUUGCUCUGACUUUGUUUCUCGAGGCUGGAUUCUUCGUCGGAGGUAUUCGUUGGUGUUGGAGUGGCGUUUACUCUGUGUGGCGGUUUGAUUCCGGUGGCCUCGGGUUCAGAUCUGGUCCCCUUCGAAGUAGUGGUGAGUUCUCUGUCCUCCUCGUCUCUUCGGUUAGGUUUGUGGUUUGAGCUUAAGUGGAAGGUGGUGGGACAAUCGAGGAGGAGACUAGUCGAGCUAUCCUCUCCGGCGGUACUGAGGCGGGGCGGAGCCGUGGCCGAAACGGGUGUAGUCCGGCUGGGAUCGAGGUCGGUGCCGAGCCAAGUCCCUCUUGGAAGUGGGCAAUAGAGGGAGUUAAUUGGGAGUAGGCGACUAGCGAGCUGCCGUGCAUCUUAAUCGGUUUGGCUUCCGCGGCGGAAGUCGCCUCAUGUUUCGGAGGGUUGUGCCGCGUGUGUAAGGAGGGGAGUUUGUCGUGUUCAUGUUCCACGGCGCUCUAGACUUCGGGCGGUGCUGUUGGGAGAUUUGUUCUCCUUGCCGUUGUCUCCCUCCUUCACCGGAUUGAGGAUAGCUUAGACGCCGGUGAUUGGAAGUUCCCGAUGACGGGAUGAAACCUGGCGGAGUUUGAAGAAUUCUCCUUCUAGGGGGUUUCAUCUUUAGUCGUGUAGGUUGUACCAGUUAACCGGGUUUGGCUGAUUCCGAAAUUGUAUUCCACCCCUUUAUUCCCGGUUCGGGUUGAUGAAAAAAAAAAAGUUUUAAGAUAAUGAAGUGGAUUUAAUUCGUUAAGAGUUAAACUUAAUACACUGUAUGGUCUUCGCAUAGGCGCAUAUACAGUAUAUAGCGUCUCCUUUUAUACGUUAAGGGUCAUUUACCUUUUUACCCCUUAACUGAAAAAGUGAGUCACAUGUAUAAAACAAACGAAACGAGUGAAGAAAAAAAAAAAAAGAUUUGUGUUUCCUUCGUCUUCUUGCUCUAUUUUUGAUCUGAAAGUAUUAAGUCGCAUUCAAUCUUGUCUCGCCAACGAUGGAGAAUGAUCUCGUUGGUCAAUUUUGUAAGGAAACCGGAGCAAAUAGGAUCACCGCACUCAUGUACCUACGGAAGCAAUUUAGAUGAAGCUAAAGAUGCUUUCUUCUCGGGAAUCACAACAAAGAUUGUGCGUACAGAUCCACCGCAUCGGGCACGCUUGGUGAGCCAACUUGAUCUGCUCGUUCAUUCAUUUCAAACGAUGGCGGCUGGUGAAGUAAGUAAAGAAGAGGCGACGGCUUAUCUUGAUUGAAUGUAGUUGGGAUUUGAAGAGAGCAGUAGCGAAUUUCAAGAAAUAUCACGGUGGUCUCAAGCCAAAACCGCUACAUCUCUGUCACAGUCCGAAGCACUCGUAUGUUGGGACCUUAGCGGAGGAGGAAAGACUCGGAGAUUCUCUUCCUUCACAAUCCCAGUCUUCUUCUUCGGAUUACGGAGGAGGAGGAGAAGAUUCCUUGUACGAAGACCAAAGGAGCUCUUCCAUUGGUGACAACGCUGAGCUACUGGCCAAUGCGAGGUUUACAGAAAAAGAUGCCCUUGAUGACAUGAUCCCUUUACCUAUUCCUCAAAUGUCUUCUCAAGAAAAGUUGCCUAGUCUUGGUAGUCUUGAUCAAUGCUAUUGGAAUGUGGACCAUCCCAAGAAGAAGUCGAAAUUGCUGACGAGUAUGCAGUCAGAUGAUGAGAAAACACCCACGGCUUCUCUUCCACUGAUGGGAUUACCUGUAGCUACUCCUCAAAUUCAAAUGACACCGACGUCUCAAGAGAAGGAAAAAUUGGAGGGUAAGGCUGUUGUUGAUCAAGGUACAACUAUAGAGACAUCCCUUGCUUCUCUGGUCUGCAAAGACAGGAUUGUGGACCCUAAAGCUGCACACAAAGAGUAAAGAUUGGUUCAUAAAAACUGCUAGUGAGUACAUCUUAGCAAACUGCUAGUGAGUACAUAUUAAAGAUCGGUUCAAGAAUUUGUUUCUAUCCUUUUUGAUAUUAGCAAAUUUGUUCUUCCUUUCGUUACACUCAACUGUAAUUCAUUCCCAUUUCAUUUCAUACAAGUAGCAAAUACCUUA